ACCUGAUUUAAGUUUUUGGGGCCCUGGGGAUGAAAGCGGCCGCCCUCCUCGGUGCCUUUUCUGGUGUUUUUUGCUCUUUCCUAGCCUGGGCCUGAGGCGGGUUUUAAAGGAUUUCCCCCAGGCAUGUGCCAAUGGAAAAUCAUCUGAGAGUUCAAGAAAUUCCCCAAACCUGCAGAGGGCAGAGCUGAGAUUUCUGCAGGAGGAGGAAGAGGCCAGAAUCAUCAAAAUAGUGGGGAAAAAAACCACAAUUUUGGUCCAAACAGCCACGAUACUACACAGAAAACACCAGGAGCUUGAUAUCAGGUGGGGAAAACCCCACGGUGCUGAGCUUUGGGACCUAAUUUCCUUUUUUUUUCCCCAUUUUUUGCUCUCAUUCAGCGCCGGUUUCUUCCUCCAGGAUCCUAAAAACACGAGCAAAAGGAGGAUUUUUCCCUCAAAAAGCACUUUCUCUGGGAAAAUGCUUCCUGCUGGCCUGGGUGCGAUUUCCUUUGUGUUUUUUUUUUUUUUUUUCCUUUUUCCCCUAUUUCUGGCAAAUAUUAAAUGGUGAAAUGGGAACCUUGGCGCAGCGUUUCCUACGGGGAAGGGCGGAGAUGAGGAUACUUCCCCUAUUUUGCUGUUUUUAGGACAAAUUUCAGCAAUUCUGAAACCCGAAGCAAUCGCAUUGGGUUUUGGGUCCGUUUCUGUGCAUUUAAGGGGAGUUUGGGGUCCGUCCUGUUGCAUUUAAAGGGAUUUUGGGGUCUUCUGUUGCAUUUAAAGGGAAUUUUGGGUCCGUCCUGUUGCAUUUAAGGGGAAUUUUGGGUCCGUCCUGUUGCAUUUAAAGGGAUUUUGGGUCCGUCCUGUUGCAUUUAAAGGGAUUUUGGGUCCGUCCUGUUGCAUUUAAAGGGAAUUUUGGGUCCAUCCUGUUGCAUUUAAAGGGAUUUUGGGUCCAUCCUGUUGCAUUUAAAGGAAUUUUGGGUCCAUCCUGUUGCAUUUAAAGGGAUUUUGGGUCCGUCCUGUUGCAUUUAAAGGGAUUUUGGGUCCGUCCUGUUGCAUUUAAAGGGAUUUUGGGUCCGUCCUGUUGCAUUUAAAGGGAUUUUGGGUCCGUCCUGUUGCAUUUAAAGGGAAUUUUGGGUCCGUCCUGUUGUAUUUAAAGGGAAUUUUGGGUCCGUCCUGUUGCAUUUAAAGGGAUUUUGGGUCCGUCCUGUUGCAUUUAAAGGGAUUUUGGGUCCGUCCUGUUGCAUUUAAAGGGAUUUUGGGUCCGUCCUGUUGCAUUUAAAGGGAUUUUGGGUCCGUCCUGUUGCAUUUAAAGGGAUUUUGGGUCCGUCCUGUUGCAUUUAAAGGGAUUUUGGGUCCGUCCUGUUGCAUUUAAGGGGAAUUUUGGGUCCGUCCUGUUGCAUUUAAGGGGAAUUUUGGGUCCGUCCUGUUGCAUUUAAAGGGAUUUUGGGUCCGUCCUGUUGCAUUUAAAGGGAUUUUGGGUCCGUCCUGUUGCAUUUAAGGGGAAUUUUGGGUCCGUCCUGUUGCAUUUUAGGGGAAUUUUGGGUCCGUCCUGUUGCAUUUAAAGGGAUUUUGGGUCCGUCCUGUUGCAUUUAAAGGGAUUUUGGGUCCGUCCUGUUGCAUUUAAAGGGAUUUUGGGUCCGUCCUGUUGCAUUUAAAGGGAAUUUUGGGUCCGUCCUGUUGCAUUUAAAGGGAAUUUUGGGUCCGUCCUGUUGCAUUUUAGGGGAAUUUGGGGUUUGUCCAAGCCUGGCGUGGAUCAGGAGGGUGAAAUUUAAAUUGGGUGAAUCCUUUCUACCUGGAAAAAAGAGGGGAAAGAAAAACCAAACGGAGCCGGGGCUGGUUUUUAGGUGCUGUUUAUUGAGCGAGUGGCGGGACGCGGCGGCGGGGAGGCGUUUGGGGUGAAACCCGAGGCUUUUGGGGAAUUUUUAGGGGCAGAAAGUGAGCAGGGCCGGCCCUUCUCCCAACCACAGCAGGGGUCUCAGCCUCUCCCCGGCGAAGGCUGCGGGGGGAAAGGCGAAAAUCUCCACCUCGCUAUCGGCGUCCCGAAAAGCCACCCUCCCUCCCC